rnacentral:rRNA from 1 species
GUUUGACCUCGGAUCAGGUAGGAAUACCCGCUGAACUUAAGCAUAUCAAA